UGUGCUGUGGCUUACUUGGCAAAAGCGCCGGUCUAGUAAAUACGGAGUCGUGGUUUCGAAUCCCACCAGAACGC
rnacentral:tRNA from 1 species